GAUGAACGCUGGCGGCGUGCCUAAUACAUGCAAGUCGAGCGAACAGACGAGGAGCUUGCUCCUCUGACGUUAGCGGCGGACGGGUGAGUAACACGUGGACAACCUACCUAUAAGACUGGGAUAACUUCGGGAAACCGGAGCUAAUACCGGAUAAUAUAUUGAACCGCAUGGUUCAAUAGUGAAAGACGGUUUUGCUGUCACUUAUAGAUGGAUCCGCGCCGCAUUAGCUAGUUGGUAAGGUAACGGCUUACCAAGGCGACGAUGCGUAGCCGACCUGAGAGGGUGAUCGGCCACACUGGAACUGAGACACGGUCCAGACUCCUACGGGAGGCAGCAGUAGGGAAUCUUCCGCAAUGGGCGAAAGCCUGACGGAGCAACGCCGCGUGAGUGAUGAAGGUCUUCGGAUCGUAAAACGCUGUUAUUAGGGAAGAACAAAUGUGUAAGUAACUAUGCACGUCUUGACGGUACCUAAUCAGAAAGCCACGGCUAACUACGU
rnacentral:rRNA from 1 species